rnacentral:tRNA from 1 species
GGGGAUGUAGCUCAGUGGUAGAGCACUUGCCUAACGUGCCUGAGAACUGGGAUUGAUCUCCCACACUGCCA